rnacentral:rRNA from 1 species
UGGGGAAUAUUGCACAAUGGGCGGAAGCCUGAUGCAGCGACGCCGCGUGAGGGAUGACGGCCUUCGGGUUGUAAACCUCUUUCGACAGGGACGAAGCGCAAGUGACGGUACCUGUAGAAGAAGCACCGGCCAACUACGUGCCAGCAGCCGCGGUAAUACGUAGGGUGCGAGCGUUGUCCGGAAUUACUGGGCGUAAAGAGCUUGUAGGCGGUUCGUCGCGUCGAUUGUGAAAACUUGCAGCUCAACUGCAAGCCUGCAGUCGAUACGGGCGGACUAGAGUACUUCAGGGGAGACUGGAAUUCCUGGUGUAGCGGUGAAAUGCGCAGAUAUCAGGAGGAACACCGGUGGCGAAGGCGGGUCUCUGGGAAGUAACUGACGCUGAGAAGCGAAAGCGUGGGUAGCGAACAGGAUUAGAUACCCCCGUAGUCC